GACGGCAGGCUAACACAUGCAAGUCGAGGGGCGAGCGAGUAGAUUUGCUUGCAAUCUACUCGGGCGACCGGCGGCACGGGUGCGUAACGCGUAUGCAACUACCCAUUACAGGGGGAUAACACUGAGAAAUCGGUACUAAUACCCCAUAACAUCCAGGGAGGCAUCUUCUUGGGUUGAAAACUCCGGUGGUAAUGGAUGGGCAUGCGUUGUAUUAGUUAGUUGGUGGGGUAACGGCUCAACCAAGACAACGAUACAUAGGGGGACUGAGAGGUUAACCCCCCACAUUGGUACUGAGACACGGACCAACUCCUACGGGAGGCAGCAGUGAGGAAUAUUGGUCAAUGGACGCAAGUCUGAACCAGCCAUGCCGCGUGCAGGAAGACGGCUCUAUGAGUUGUAAACUGCUUUUGUACGAGGGUAAACGCAGAUACGCGUAUCUGUCUGAAAGUAUCGUACGAAUAAGGAUCGGCUAACUCCGUG
rnacentral:rRNA from 1 species